rnacentral:rRNA from 1 species
UACGUAGGGUGCAAGCGUUAAUCGGAAUUACUGGGCGUAAAGCGUGCGCAGGCGGUUAUGUAAGACAGAUGUGAAAUGCCCGGGCUUAACCUGGGAACUGCAUUUGUGACUGCAUGGCUAGAGUUUGGCAGAGGGGGGUAGAAUUCCACGUGUAGCAGUGAAACGCGUAGAUAUGUGGAGGAACACCGAUGGCGAAGGCAGCCCCCUGGGUCAAGACUGACGCUCAUGCACGAAAGCGUGGGGAGCAAACAGG